rnacentral:tRNA from 1 species
GUCCCUGUAGCGCAAUUGAUACUGCGUUGGACUUUUAAUCCAAAGGUCGUGGUUUCGAAUCCCACCUGGGAUG